ACGAACGUUGGCGGCGUGGAUUAGGCAUGCAAGUCGAAACGCGAACCUUUGGGAAACUGAAGGGGAGAGUGGCGAAAGGGGCAGUAAGGCGUGGGUAACCUACCCCGGGGAUCGGGAUAGGCCAUCCUAACGGAUGGGUAAUACCGAGCGAUGUGUCCGAGAGGCAUCUCUUGGCCACGAAAUGAAUUUCGCCUCGGGAGGGGCUCACGUGGUAUUAGCUUGUUGUGUGGGGUAACGGCCUACCAAGGCUCAGAUGCCUAGCGGGUGUGAGAGCACGACCCGCGCCACUGGCACUGUGACACUGGCCAGACUCCUACGGGAGGCUGCAGUCGAGGAUCUUCGGCAAUGGGCGCAAGCCUGACCGAGCGACCAGCCGCGUGCGCGAUGAAGGCCUUCGGGUUGUAAAGCGCUGUCGAGGGGGAGGAAGCCCGCAAGGGUCUGACCUAUCCCUGGAGGAAGCACGGGGCUAGUUCGUGCCAGCAGCCGCGGUAAAGACGAACCGUGCGAACGUUGUUCGGAUUCACUGGGCUUAAAGGGCGCGUAUGCGGGUCAUCAAGUCCGGGGUGAAAUCUUUCGGCUCAACCGGAAAAAUUGCCUUGGAUACUGGUGGUCUGGAGGGAGGUAGGGGCAUGCGGAAACUUCCGGUGGAGCGGUGAAAUGCGUAGAUAUCGGAAGGAACGCCGGUGGCGAAAGCGGCGUGCUGGACCUCUUCUGACGCUGAGGCGCGAAAGCCAGGGGAGCAAACGGGAUUAGAUACCCCGGUUAGUCCUGGCCCUAAACGAUUGGGUACUAGGUAGUGGACUUGACAUGGGUUCACUGCCGAAGCAAAAGUGUUAAGUACCUACCCGCCUGGGGAGUAUGGUCGCAAGGCUGAAACUCAAAGGAAUUGGACGGGGGCUCACACAAGCGGUGGAGCAUGUGGCUUAAUUCGAGGCUACGCGAAGAACCUUAGCUCCUGGGCUUGACAUGUGCGAAAGCGGUGGGGAGUAGGGGCGGAAACGUUCCCCCAACGUGUAUCCAGUUCCGGAACCCACCUACAGGUGCUGCAUGGCUGUCGUCAGCUCGAUGUCGUGAGAUGUCGGGGUUAAGUCCCAUAACGAGCGGAAAAACCCUUGCCCUUAGUUGCUAUCCGUAAGGGAGGACUCUAGGGGGACUGCCAGGUGUUAAACCGGAGGAAGGUGGGGAUGACGUCAAGUCCUCAUGGCCUUUAUGCCCAGGGCUGCACACGUGCUAACAAUGGCGCAUACAAAGGGACGCAAACCACGCGAGGGGGAGCAAAUCCCAAAAAAAUGCGCCCCAGUUCAGAUCGCAAGGCUGACAACUCGCCUGCGUGAAGUUGGAAUCGCUAGUAAUCGCAGGUCAGCAACACUGCGGUGAAUGUGUUCCUGAGCCUCGUACACACCGCCCGUCAAGCCACGAAAGGGAGGGACGGCCGAAGUCGUCUUCACAGACGCCGACGCCGGACUUUCUGAUUGGGACUAGUCCGUAACAGGUAAC
rnacentral:rRNA from 1 species